rnacentral:rRNA from 1 species
GGGGGGGGGGGGGGGGGGGCGGGGGGCGGGCGGGGGGGGCGGGGAGGGGGCUGCGGGUGCUGACGGGUGGCGGACGGGGGGGGAAUGCCUCGGAACGGACCCGGAGGGGGGGGCUAACGCAGCGAAAGCUGUGCUAAUACCGCAUGUGAUCUGCGGGUGAAAGCGGGGGACCGGGCCGCAAUGUUUGUCCUCGCGCCUUUGGAGCGGCCGAUGUCGGGUUAGCUAGUUGGUGGGGUAAAGGCCUACCAAGGCGACGAUCCGUAGCUGGUCUGAGAGGACGACCAGCCACACUGGGACUGAGACACGGCCCAGACUCCUACGGGAGGCAGCAGUGGGGAAUUUUGGACAAUGGGCGCAAGCCUGAUCCAGCAAUGCCGCGUGCGGGAAGAAGGCCUUCGGGUUGUAAACCGCUUUUGGCAGGAACGAAACGGUGUCCGCUAAUACCGGGCGCUAAUGACGGUACCUGCAGAAUAAGCACCGGCUAACUACGUG